UGGGGGAUAUUGCACAAUGGGCGAAAGCCUGAUGCAGCGACGCCGCGUGGGGGAUGAAGGCCUUCGGGUUGUAAACUUCUUUUGCUCUGAACAAGGCAUGCCUUUGGGGUGUGUUGAGUGUAGGGGUUGAUUAGCGCCGGCUAACUACGUGCCAGCAGCCGCGGUAAUACGUAGGGCGCGAGCGUUGUCCGGAAUUAUUGGGCGUAAAGGGCUUGUAGGUGGCUGGUUGCGUCUGUCGUGAAAGCUCAUGGCUUAACUGUGGGUUUGCGGUGGGUACGGGCUGGCUUGAGUGCAGUAGGGGAGGCUGGAAUUCCUGGUGUAGCGGUGGAAUGCGCAGAUAUCAGGAGGAAUACCGGUGGCGUAGGCGGGUCUCUGGGCUGUUACUGACGCUGAGGAGCGAAAGCGUGGGGAGCGAACAGG
rnacentral:rRNA from 1 species